UUUUUAUUUAUUUCUUAUUUCCUAUAUGUGUGGUGUCUACACUCCAGGAAGAAGAUUCCUUGCAGGCUGCUUUAACAAGAGUUAUAGUUUUCACAUCCACUCCAGACAAAGAAUCAAACAAGUACUAUCUUGGACCUGCACCAUUGGAGGAAAUGGCCAGG